UACCAGCUCUCCGAGUGGUGUGGAUGUUUAUUGGGCCUAAAGCAUCCGUAGCUGGCCAAGUUAGUCCCCUGUUAAACCCACCGAAUUAAUCGUUGGCUUGCGGGGGAUACUGCUCGGCUAGGGGACGGGAGAGGCAGACGGUAUUUUCGGGGUAGGGGUGAAAUCCUAUAAUCCCGGGAAGACCACCAGUGGCGAAGGCUGUCUGCUAGAACGCGCCCGACGGUGAGGGAUGAAAGCUGGGGGAGCGAACCGGAUUAGAUACCCGGGUAGUCCCAGCUGUAAACGAUGCAGGCUAGGUGUUUGGACGGCCACGUGCCGUUCUAGUGCCGCAGGGAAGCUGUUAAGCCUGCCGCCUGGGGAGUACGGUCGCAAGAUUGAAACUUAAAGGAAUUGGCGGGGGAGCACCACAAGGGGUGAAGCUUGCGGUUUAAUUGGAGUCAACGCCGGAAAUCUCACCGGGAGCGACAGCAGUUUGAAGGCCAGAUUAAAGGUCUUGCCAGACGAGCUGAGAGGAGGUGCAUGGCCGUCGCCAGUUCGUGCCGUGAGGUGUCCUGUUAAGUCAGGCAACGAUCGAGACCCGCGUCCUCUGUUGCAACCAGCCUUGAGCUGGGCACACUGAGGAGACCGCCGCUGAUAAAGCGGAGGAAGGAGCGGGCCACGGCAGGUCAGUAUGCCCCGAAUCUCCCGGGCCACACGCGAGCUGCAAUGGCAGGUACAAUGGGUUCCGACCUCGUAAGGGGAAGGCAAUCUCGAAAGCCUGCCGUAGUUGGGAUUGAGGGUUGUAACCCAUCCUCAUGAACAUGGAAUCCCUAGUAAUCGCGUGUCAUCAGCGCGCGGUGAAUACGUCCCUGCUCCU
rnacentral:rRNA from 1 species